rnacentral:misc_RNA from 1 species
AUUUAUAGCAGUAGAACGAAAUCCUCAUAUAUGAGGGUCCAAAAAUAUAAAAUCAACUCUUCAUUGAUCAUAUCAAUACACACAAAUUUAAAUAAAUAGAUAAAUCUAUGUCAAAUUCAGAAUUCGAAUCCUCAUUCGUUUCCAAAUCCAUCUACGAAGCAAAUUUCAAAAAAUAAAAUAAAAAUCAAGGUCCAGAAUUUUGUAUACGGAAAAUAAGUAUAAAAAUGAAUCGAAAACAGACCUACAUAGUCGCCCAUGAAGAGAU